UACGAAGGGGGCUAGCGUUGCUCGGAAUUACUGGGCGUAAAGCGCACGUAGGCGGCUUUCUAAGUCGGGGGUGAAAUCCUGGAGCUCAACUCCAGAACUGCCUUCGAUACUGGAAAGCUCGAGUCCGGGAGAGGUGAGUGGAACUGCGAGUGUAGAGGUGAAAUUCGUAGAUAUUCGCAAGAACACCAGUGGCGAAGGCGGCUCACUGGCCCGGUACUGACGCUGAGGUGCGAAAGCGUGGGGAGCAACAGGG
rnacentral:rRNA from 1 species